GGGUGGAGGGGACUACAGAUUGAUGUUCAGGAACAAUCGGUCUAGUAUGGCGGGUUCUGGGAGAUCAUAUCUGGAUUACGACUCCAAUAAUGCACAGGUAGCCUAUAUCACGGCUCUUGCAGAAGACACCAGGUGCUGAGGCAUUAUUUGCAUACUUAUUAAUAUACACCAGAUAGCUCUGUACAGCAAGUUGACUUAGUUGUCC